CUUUCAACCAAUACAUCACAGCAAAGUCUAACAGCUUCACAGCUUGAUUCUGAUGUAGUGCUUCCAGCUGUAAGCCCGGCUUGCACUAAGCUUAAGGUGUCUGCUUGUAUGACUCGUACUUUCUCCACGAGGUCUUCGGCCCAACUACUAUCAAUUAAACCAAG